rnacentral:rRNA from 1 species
GGUAGCGAAAUUCCUUGUCGGGUAAGUUCCGACCCGCACGAAAGGUGUAACGAUUUGGGCACUGUCUCAACGAGGGACCCGGUGAAAUUGAAAUACCUGUGAAGAUGCAGGUUACCCGCGACUGGACAGAAAGACCCCAUGGAGCUUUACUGUAACCUGACAUUGGGUUUUGAUACAUUACGUACAGGAUAGGUGGGAGGCAUGGAAAGCUGGACGCUAGUCUGGCUGGAGCCGCCGUUGGGAUACCACCCUUGAUGUAUUGAAAUUCUAACCGCGAGAGUAACGAAAUCCGGGACAGUGUCAGGCGGGCAGUUUGACUGGGGCGGUCGCCUCCGAAAGAGUAACGGAGGCGCCCAAAGGUUCCCUCAGCGCGGCCGGAAAUCGCGCGAAGAGUGUAAAGGCAGAAGGGAGCUUGACUGCGAGUCAAACACGACGAGCAGGUACGAAAGUAGGGCUUAGUGAUCCGGUGGUACCGAGUGGAAGGGCCAUCGCUCAACGGAUAAAAGCUACCCUGGGGAUAACAGGCUAAUCUCUCCCAAGAGUCCAUAUCGACGGGGAGGUUUGGCACCUCGAUGUCGGCUCAUCACAUCCUGGGGCUGAAGUCGGUCCCAAGGGUUGGGCUGUUCGCCCAUUAAAGUGGUACGUGAGCUGGGUUCAGAACGUCGUGAGACAGUUCGGUCCCUAUCCAUCGCGGGCGCAAGAGAUUUGAAGGGGGCUGCUCCUAGUACGAGAGGACCGGAGUGGACGAACCGCUGGUGUACCAAUUAUCCCGCCAGGGGUACAGUUGGGUAGCUACGUUCGGAAAGGAUAAACGCUGAAAGCAUCUAAGCGUGAAACCAGCCUUAAGAUGAGAUCUCUCAUAGAGCAAUCUAGUAAGACACCUUAAAGAAGAUGAGGUUGAUAGGUCGGGAGUGUAAGUACAGCAAUGUAUUGAGCGGACCGAUACUAAUAUGUCGAGGGCUUGACUUA